rnacentral:lncRNA from 1 species
CUCGCUGUUUCUGCUUCCACGCGAUCGAACCGGAAUCGGGGAAGCUUCUGUAGGUCUUCCGCAGAGUAGCCGGAAUUUGGAAGGCAAGUGCUGCGGCGGCGUCGGUGAUGGAAGACGCCGCCGGCGAAACAGAUGUGGAGGAGGAGUAUGGCGGCUACGCCGACAAAGAGGAAGAAAAGGGAGAUGACAGCGGUCAUGAUGAUGGCUUGGAGGAAGAAGAAGGAGAGGAGCUUAGGGUUUGGUUUGGAAGGAGGUGGCCCGGCAGUGGCAGCGGAGUCGGC